GACGAACGCUGGCGGCGUGCCUAAUACAUGCAAGUCGAGCGGAUCUUGUCCUUCGGGACAAGAUUAGCGGCGGACGGGUGAGUAACACGUGGGUAACCUGCCUGUAAGACUGGGAUAACAUUCGGAAACGAAUGCUAAUACCGGAUACGCGGUUUGGUCGCAUGACCGAACCGGGAAAGAUGGAGCAAUCUAUCACUUACAGAUGGACCCGCGGCGCAUUAGCUAGUUGGUGAGGUAACGGCUCACCAAGGCGACGAUGCGUAGCCGACCUGAGAGGGUGAUCGGCCACACUGGGACUGAGACACGGCCCAGACUCCUACGGGAGGCAG
rnacentral:rRNA from 1 species